rnacentral:sRNA from 1 species
GAGACCUUUUGGGAACUCACUAGCUUCGGAUUCCAUCGGAACUCCGAAGUUAAGCGAGUUCGGGCGAGAGCAAUCCCAGGAUGGGUGACCCACUGGGAAGUUCUCGUCUGAGUUUCCAAAAACAAAACCGUGAGGGAAUGGUGAGCUCAAAGCGGACAAUAUCGUGCUACGACGAAAUCGGUCCGGGAUGUAACAGAAUGGUAUCAGAGCCAUUAUGUCGUUCGGUGCGAGUGUGCCAACGAGAACGUCAGGCCCCUAAGGGGGUGGAUUGUAACAUCCCACAUCGACCAACGAGGAUGGGGUGAUGUGCCUUAUAUGUACAUGCCCACCUCCAUAUAUCACGAGGCCUUUUCGAAACUCAUUGGUUUGGAUUCCAUAGGAACUCCGAAGUUAAGCAAGUUCAGGCGAGAGUAAUUCAAGGAUGGGUGACCUACUGUGAAGUUCUCAUUUGAGUUCC